GACGAACGCUGGCGGCGUGCCUAAUACAUGCAAGUAGAACGCACAGUUUAUACCGUAGCUUGCUACACCAUAGACUGUGAGUUGCGAACGGGUGAGUAACGCGUAGGUAACCUGCCUGGUAGCGGGGGAUAACUAUUGGAAACGAUAGCUAAUACCGCAUAAUAUUAAUUAUUGCAUGAUAAUUAAUUGAAAGGUGCAAUUGCACCACUACCAGAUUGACCUGCGUUGUAUUAGCUAGUAGGUGAGGUAACGGCUCACCUAGGCGACGAUACAUAGCCGAACUGAGAGGGUGAUCGGCCACACUGGGACUGAGAAACGGCCCAGACUCCUACGGGAGGCAGCAGUAGGGAAGCUUCGGCAAUGGACGAAAGUCUGAACGAGCAACGCCGCGUGAGGGAAGAAGGUUUUCGGAUCGUAAAGCUCGGUUGUAAGAGAAGAACGGGUGUGAGAGUGGAAAGUUCACACUGUGACGGUAUCUUACCAGAAAGGGACGGCUAACUACGUG
rnacentral:rRNA from 1 species